GUGAAUCAUCGAAUCUUUGAACGCACAUUGCGCCCGUCAGUAUUCUGACGGGCAUGCCUGUUCGAGCGUCAUUUCAAACCUCAAGCCACUGUGCUUGGUGCUGGGGCUACUGUAAGUCUCUAUACCUACAGGCCCUAAAAACGCACGGCAGACCUUUUAGGCCUCUGAGCGCAGUAAACAUUCUCGCUCCUGGGGUUCUAGAGGGCAUCUAGCCCCUAAAACUUUUUUCCAAAGUUUGACCUCGGAUCAGGUAGGAAUACCCGCUGAACUUAAGCAUAUCAAUAAGCGGAGGA
rnacentral:misc_RNA from 1 species